rnacentral:rRNA from 1 species
AUACGUAGGGGGCGAGCGUUGUCCGGAUUUAUUGGGCGUAAAGGGCGCGUAGGCGGCGCUUCAAGUCGUCUGUCAAAUGGGAGGGCUUAACCCUUUUUCGCAGACGAAACUGGAGAGCUUGAGAAGCAGAGAGGCAAACAGAAUUCCUGGUGUAGCGGUGAAAUGCGUAGAUAUCAGGAAGAAUACCAGUGGCGAAGGCGGUUUGCUGGCUGCAUACUGACGCUGAGGCACGAAAGCGUGGGGAGCAAACAGGAUUAGAUACCCUGGUAGUCCACGCUAUAAACGAUGAGUGUUAGGUGUCGGGGGUCAAACCUCGGUGCCGCAGUUAACACAUUAAGCACUCCGCCUGGGGAGUACGGCCGCAAGGCUGAAACUUAAAGGAAUUGACGGGG